GUGGGGAAUAUUGGACAAUGGGCGCAAGCCUGAUCCAGCCAUGCCGCGUGAGUGAUGAAGGCCCUAGGGUUGUAAAGCUCUUUCACCGGUGAAGAUAAUGACGGUAACCGGAGAAGAAGCCCCGGCUAACUUCGUGCCAGCAGCCGCGGUAAUACGAAGGGGGCUAGCGUUGUUCGGAAUUACUGGGCGUAAAGCGCACGUAGGCGGGUAUUUAAGUCAGGGGAGAAAUCCCGGAGCUCAACUCCGGAACUGCCUUUAAUACUGGGUACCUAGAGUAUGUAAGAGGUAAGUGGAAUUCCGAGUGUAGAGGUGAAAUUCGUAGAUAUUCGGAGGAACACCAGUGGCGAAGGCGGCUUACUGGUCCAUUACUGACGCUGAGGUGCGAAAGCGUGGGGAGCAAACAGGAUUAGAUACCCUAGUAGUCC
rnacentral:rRNA from 1 species